rnacentral:lncRNA from 1 species
UCGGGAGGCGUUACCUGCGGAGGGUUUGAGGCAGGCCCAGGAGCGAGCCCAUGGUCUUCCGACGCGGGGCCAGGGGCGGGGCCCAGGAUCCGGAGCUUCGUGCGGGGCCGAGUCCAGGUUUGGGGCCCGGGAGGCGGGGCCAGUUAGGGCGAGGGUCCCUGGGAUCGUCGGGUCAGGCCUUGGGCUAACGUAGGCACUCUCGCAGUUCCUCCGCCUUCAGGAAGGUCUUUUCAGCAGGGGCCUUACGGGUGCAUGCUUCGGUCCUGGAGGCCUUAUCCUAGCCUCCUCUCCAUCAGCGCCACCCGUCUGGGGCCCGAAAGGAGGGAGCUUUCCCUCUGUCCCCCAGCCUUUGGACUGUCACUAAACAAGCCAUUCGUUCAUCAAAUACUUUUUAAGCGCCUACCAUGUGCCUGACAAGGGAGAUGUAACGGUGAGAAAAACUAGGUGUGGUCCAGGCCCUUCAGGGGCUCAGGUGCUCGUGGAAGAAGUGGACAUUGAAGUACUUAUCACACAAAUGAGGAUAAAAGUACGAUAACGAUAUCUACCACGAAGCUGUUGUUCCCCACCAGAACCAAAUGAGCGCAAGAUCUGACAAAGAAAAAAAAAGGUUCAUCUUUUAUUCCUCCAAACACUUUCAUUUAAAUCAAGAGGAUGGGAUGUGGUUAUUGCUGUGUUUUUAGACAGAAUCAACGGUUUCUGGGUCUGAGAUGUUGCAUACACCUUCUCAGUCCCUGUAUCCUGAGAUGGAGUCACCUGAGAAUCCACAGCAAGUCCUAACCAGGGAUGGGUCUGGGUGAUUAAGGAAGGUUGGCUUCAGAACUGGGCCAGGGGCACUGCUUUGCUUUUGCUGUUUUGAUCAGCUCUCUGCCUGAAGGAGACAAGAAAAACCAACGGGAACAGCCCAGUAAAGGCGCCAUUCCCCAUUUUACAGCUGGGGAAACUGAGUUACAGAGCUUGUCUGCACUGAGUCAUCAGGAGCAAAUGCUAGAUCAGAUAGGGUCUCUCUCUCUGCCACCCAGGCCAGAGUGCAGUUGACGCAGGGCAGGGGAGCCCCGAAGUGGAGCAUAGUGUGUCCGGAACUGGUGGGUUCUUGGUCUCACUGACUUCAAGAAAGAAGCCGCGGACCCUCGCGAAACUCCUGGAGGGCAGAGGCAUGCCUGCCAUCUUCAUCAUUGCAUUACCACCACCCAACACUAUCGGGGGACCUGCCCUGAUA